UACGGGGGGAGCAAGCGUUGUUCGGAAUCACUGGGCGUAAAGGGCGUGUAGGCGGUCAGGUAAGUGGAAUGUGAAAUGCCCCGGCUCACCCGGGGACCUGCAUCCCAAACUGCCUGGCUUGAGUAUGGGAGAGGAUGAGGGAAUUCCUGGUGUAGCGGUGAAAUGCGUAGAUAUCAGGAGGAACACCGGUGGCGAAAGCGCUCAUCUGGCCCAAUACUGACGCUGAGGCGCGAAAGCUAGGGGAGCAAACGGG
rnacentral:rRNA from 1 species